GAUGAACGCUGGCGGCGUGCCUAAUACAUGCAAGUCGAGCGAAUGGAUUGAGAGCUUGCUCUCAAGAAGUUAGCGGCGGACGGGUGAGUAACACGUGGGUAACCUGCCCAUAAGACUGGGAUAACUCCGGGAAACCGGGGCUAAUACCGGAUAACAUUUUGAACUGCAUGGUUCGAACUUGAAAGGCGGCUUCGGAUGUCACUUAUGGAUGGACCCGCGACGCAUUAGCUAGGUGGUGAGGUAACGGCUCACCAAGGCAACGAUGCGGAGCCGACCUGAGAGGGUGAUCGGCCACACCGGGACUGAGACACGGUCCGGACUCCUACGGGAGGCAGCAGUGGGGAAUUUUGCGCAAUGGGCGAAAGCCUGACGCAGCAACGCCGCGUGGAGGAUGAAGGUUCUCUGAAUCGUAAACUCCUGUCGGCCGGGAAGAAUGGACGGGGCGCUAAUCAGCCCCGUCUUGACUGUACCGGCAAAGGAAGCCCCGGCUAACUCCGUGCCAGCAGCCGCCGUAAAAC
rnacentral:rRNA from 1 species